rnacentral:rRNA from 1 species
CCUACGGGGGGCAGCAGUGAGGAAUAUUGGUCAAUGGGAGAGAUCCUGAACCAGCCAAGCCGCGUGAGGGAAGACGGCCCUAUGGGUUGUAAACCUCUUUUGUCGGAGAACAAAACCCGGGACGUGUCCCGGACUGCGUGUAUCCGAAGAAAAAGCAUCGGCUAACUCCGUGCCAGCAGCCGCGGUAAUACGGAGGAUGCGAGCGUUAUCCGGAUUUAUUGGGUUUAACGGGUGCGUAGGCGGUCCGUUAAGUCAGCGGUAAAAUUGCGGGGCUCAACCCCGUCGAGCCGUUGAAACUGGCAGACUUGAGUUGGCGAGAAGUACGCGGAAUGCGCGGUGUAGCGGUGAAAUGCAUAGAUAUCGCGCAGAACUCCGAUUGCGAAGGCAGCGUACCGGCGCCAGACUGACGCUGAGGCACGAAAGCGUGGGGAGCGAACAGGAUUAGAUACCCCAGUAGUC